AAGGAGCUUUGUGUGUGUGCAUACUCAGUUGUCUCUAACACGUUGUGACCUCAGGGACUCUGUAGUCCGUCAGGCUCCUCUGUCCAUGGGAUUUUCCAGACAAGAAUACUGGAGUGAAAAAAAAGAAAAGAAAUACUUGUGUUUUACACUGCCGAUCUGAAAUGAAAUUGCAGCCUUCCAUAAUGAGCAAGUGAGGCUCAGAGGCAGAAUGGAUUGAGCUUCACCAAUACCUGUCACCGGCAGUCACGGACCCUUUGAAACGACAAAUGGCAGAGACGUGAUGCACCUUUGCUCGCAUCGAUCUGCCAUUGACAAGGACUCUGAACUCUUCCUCACUGUGUGACCUCAGCUCGGCAGUUAAUGAUUUAUGAAAGAAAUCUGAAUGCCCCAGAGGUGGUCCAUACUUGAAGGAACUACCAGAGUAAAUAUUU
ensembl:lncRNA